AUUGAACGCUGGCGGCAUGCCUUACACAUGCAAGUCGAACGGUAACAGGUCUUCGGAUGCUGACGAGUGGCGAACGGGUGAGUAAUACAUCGGAACGUGCCCGAGAGUGGGGGAUAACGCAGCGAAAGCUGUGCUAAUACCGCAUACGAUCUACGGAUGAAAGCGGGGGAUCGCAAGACCUCGCGCGGACGGAGCGGCCGAUGGCAGAUUAGGUAGUUGGUGGGAUAAAAGCUUACCAAGCCGACGAUCUGUAGCUGGUCUGAGAGGACGACCAGCCACACUGGGACUGAGACACGGCCCAGACUCCUACGGGAGGCAGCAGUGGGGAAUUUUGGACAAUGGGCGCAAGCCUGAUCCAGCCAUGCCGCGUGCAGGAUGAAGGCCUUCGGGUUGUAAACUGCUUUUGUACGGAACGAAAAGCUACUCUCUAAUACAGGGGGUAAUGGAACGGUACCGUAAGAAUAAGCACCGGACUAACUACGUGCCAG
rnacentral:rRNA from 1 species